rfam:Gossypium hirsutum cultivar TM-1 unplaced genomic scaffold scaffold417.1, whole genome shotgun sequence
AAUAGGAGUACGACAAAUCAGAAUUUUUCUCCUGAUUUUUAGAUUUUUCCUCAUAAAAAAAUUUAAAUUCAACUAAAAAUACUAAAAAUCAAGAGAAAAAAUCUAAUUUAUCAUGCUCCUAUU